UACGUAGGGUGCGAGCGUUGUCCGGAAUUAUUGGGCGUAAAGAGCUCGUAGGCGGUGUGUCGCGUCGGCCGUGAAAACCUGGGGCUCAACUCUGGGCGUGCGGUCGAUACGGGCAUCACUUGAGUUCGGCAGGGGAGACUGGAAUUCCUGGUGUAGCGGUGAAAUGCGCGGAUAUCAGGAGGAACACCGGUGGCGAAGGCGGGUCUCUGGGCAGUAACUGACGCUGAGGAGCGAAAGCGUGGGGAGCGAACAGG
rnacentral:rRNA from 1 species